AAACAGCAGUCAUGAGUCAGUUUAUACAUUCAUCUGAUCACUAGAGAGAGUGAAGAAUCACUUCAGUUCUUUCAAACUGUGAAACAAACCAUGAUCUCUUCAUCUUUAGUGUUGUUUCUGGCAGUCAUAUCCUGUAUUGAUUCAGAAGAACUCACUCAGCCUGAGUCUCUGACUGUUCAUCCUGAUGCCGCUCUCACUAUCAACUGUAAAGUCUCCUAUUCAGUUACAAGCUAUGGUACAGCCUGGAUUCGUCAACCUGCAGGAAAAGCUCUGGAGUGGAUUGGAGUUAUCUGGAGCGGUGGAAGCACAGACUACAAGGAUUCCCUGAAAAGCAAGUUCAGUAUCAGCAGAGACACUUCCAGUAACACAAUAACACUGAAAGGACAGAAUAUGAGAGCUGAAGACACAGCUGUGUAUUAUUGUGCCAGACACACAGUGACAGACGCUAACAAGAUUCCUGUACAAAAACACCAUCAUCUCAUUACAAAUUAUGUCUUUCAGAUAAUUGUACCUAAUCACUAAAAAUAAUUUACACCA